rnacentral:lncRNA from 1 species
AUGGAAGAAUGAUUAAAAGAUGAUAAAUUAUUUACCAUCUUUAAUAAAAUUUUAAAAAAUAAAUUAUUUAUUGUCUUUUCUUUUAGAAAGAAAAAUAUGAACAAUUUACCAACUUCUUUCUAUUUUUCAUAUAUAAUUUUAAUAACUAUAUAAAAAUUUAAAUAAUUAUAAUCACAUUUAUUCCUAAUAAUCCAGAAAAUCUUAAUGAUCUACCCAUAUAAUUCUAAUAUCAAACAAAAAUUUUAAUUUCACAUGCAAUCUUAACAACCUUACAAAAAUGCUCACAACCCAUAAAAAAAAAUAAUGAUCCUCACAACACAUAAAAAAAUAAUAAUAUUAAUAUGAAAAAGGUGAGUGGUUUAUCACUUUCUAAAGUUGGUGAACGAUUCGUCGUCUUCUUUAUUUUUUUGUUCCAAUAUGACACUGAGUUGAUGAUAAGAAGGUUAGUUGGUCAAAUAAAAUU